GAUGAACGCUAGCUACAGGCUUAACACAUGCAAGUCGAGGGGCAGCAUGGAAGAAGCUUGCUUCUUCUGAUGGCGACCGGCGCACGGGUGCGUAACGCGUAUCAAACCUGCCUCAUACUCGGGGAUAGCCUUGCGAAAGUAAGAUUAAUACCCGAUGUUAUUAGUUCUCCGCAUGGUGGACUAAUCAAAGAUUUAUCGGUAUGAGAUGGUGAUGCGUCCGAUUAGGUAGUAGGCGGGGUAACGGCCCACCUAGCCUUCGAUCGGUAGGGGUUCUGAGAGGAAGGUCCCCCACACUGGAACUGAGACACGGUCCAGACUCCUACGGGAGGCAGCAGUGAGGAAUAUUGGUCAAUGGACGAAAGUCUGAACCAGCCAAGUAGCGUGCAGGAUGACGGCCCUCCGGGUUGUAAACUGCUUUUAGUUGGGAAUAAAAAAAGGGACGUGUCCCUUAUUGUAUGACCUCAGAAAAAGACCG
rnacentral:rRNA from 2 species